GGUCAGUGGUGCUUUCUGCGUCUCCUGCAGAGCUGGGGGCAGCCUGGGCUCGCGGGUGCUGGCAGGAGCAGGUCCAAGGGCUGCCUGUCCCUGGCACGGACAGGGCUCCCCCCAGGGCGCUGCUCUCUCUCGGCAGAGCUGGGGGGGCAGAGCCUGGGGGGCACAGACCCCGAGAGGCCGCGCUGGAGCAGCAGGGAGGGGCUUGGGCUCCACCCUCGGCGCUGGGGCUGGGACGCCUCUUGGAGCUGGCAGGGGCAGCAGAGGGCAAGGGCAGAGCCUCAGGUACCUCCUGCCCGCACGCACAGCGGGACAUGGUCCUCCUUCUCCUGGCAGCGCUGCUGGCACUGGCAGCGUCGGGUCUUGCGCAAAAGGACUCUGUGCUCCAGUACCCAGCAGAGAUGACCAUCCAGGCAGGACACAGUGCAACUCUCUACUGCAAUUUCUCUACCAGUGAUAGAUAUCCCUACAUCUUUUGGUAUCAGCAGCACCAGUCACAGUCCCCUCAGAUGUUGCUCUGGGUGACAAAAAGCAAACCUCGCGUGGAUGCAGGGAGGUUCUCCUGUCUGAUGUCUGCAGAGAACUCCCAGGUGUUUCUGCAGGUGCAGGAUGCAGAGCUCCAGGACAGCGCUGCCUAUUUCUGUGUGCUGAGCCCACCCUGGUGCCCAGAGCGUGCAGCGCUGUACAGUAACGUGGGGGGUGCUCUGGGGAGCAGUUCCCUCCCUGCCGCUGCUUGCCUGGAGCUCUGAGCUCAGCCUGCCCAGCAGCAGCACCUGGGGUCAACAGCUCUUGCUGCCAGAGGCCCAAGUCCUCUCUGUGUUUGGAACCCAGAAGCAAAGAGCCCAACACACAAAUGCAGCCCCAGAUUGUCCUGGGCUGC